GCAUCCUUAGCUCAAUUGGAUAGAGUAGCUGGCUUCGAACCAGUUGGUUGGGGGUUCGAGUCCCUCAGGAUGUGCCA
rnacentral:tRNA from 1 species